UACGGGGGGGGGCAAGCGUUGUUCGGAAUUACUGGGCGUAAAGGGCGCGUAGGCGGUUCGCUAAGUUGGAUGUGAAAACUCUGGGCUCAACCCAGAGCCUGCAUCCAAAACUGGCGGGCUAGAGUUCUGGAGGGGAUAGCGGAAUUCCUGGUGUAGCGGUGAAAUGCGUAGAUAUGUGGAGGAACACCGACGGCGUAGGCAGCGCCCUGGACGACACCUGACGCUGAGGCACGAAAGCUGGGGGAGCGAACAGG
rnacentral:rRNA from 1 species